rnacentral:lncRNA from 10 species
GUAUCAGCCGGGCAUGGUGGCUCUUGCCUGUAAUCCCAGCACUUUGGGAGGCCAUGGUGGGCAGAUCGCUUGAGCCCGGGAGGUUGAGGCUGCAGUGAGCUAUAAUCGCACCAUUGCACUCCAGCCUGGGUGACAGAGAGAGACCCUGUCUCAAAAAAGAAAAGAAAAUGUCUACUAAGACCUCCACUCCCUAUAAUGGCACAUUAAGUAUCUCCAACCAACCCACUCAGUGAGUAAGAUAGGAAAGCUGGUCAAAUGUAUUUUUUAAAAUCUUAAGCCAUUGUAAUGUUGAGGAGGUAGUGAAGAAUGAUGAGGCUACAGCCUGGGAGAAGAACAAAAAAUCUGGAG